AGUGAACGCUGGCGGUAGGCCUAACACAUGCAAGUCGAACGGCAGCACAGUAAGAGCUUGCUCUUACGGGUGGCGAGUGGCGGGCGGGUGAGGAAUACAUCGGAAUCUACUUUUUCGUGGGGGAUAACGUAGGGAAACUUACGCUAAUACCGCAUACGACCUACGGGUGAAAGCAGGGGAUCUUCGGACCUUGCGCGAUUGAAUGAGCCGAUGUCGGAUUAGCUAGUUGGCGGGGUAAAGGCCCACCAAGGCGACGAUCCGUAGCUGGUCUGAGAGGAUGAUCAGCCACACUGGAACUGAGACACGGUCCAGACUCCUACGGGAGGCAGCAGUGGGGAAUAUUGGACAAUGGGCGCAAGCCUGAUCCAGCCAUACCGCGUGGGUGAAGAAGGCCUUCGGGUUGUAAAGCCCUUUGUUGGGAAAGAAAAGCAGCAGGUUAAUACCCCGCUGUUCUGACGGUACCCAAAGAAUAAGCACCGGCUAACUUCGUG
rnacentral:rRNA from 1 species